rnacentral:rRNA from 1 species
CCACAAAAGUGAGCAAGGGAAAUAUUUAUAGCUCUAGGAUCGGCCUGUACGGUAUCAGCUAGUCGGUGAGGUAAUGGCUCACCAAGGCAAUGACACCUAACUGGUUUGAGAGGAUGAUCAGUCACACUGGAACUGAGACACGGUCCAGACUCCUACGGAAGGCAGCAGUGGGGAAUAUUGCACAAUGGACGAAAGUCUGAUGCAGCAACGCCGCGUGGAGGAUGACACAUUUCGGUGCGUAAACUCCUUUUAUAUAGGAAGAUAAUGACGGUACUAUAUGAAUAAGCACCGGCUAACUCCGUGCCAGCAGCCGCGGUAAUACGGAGGGUGCAAGCGUUACUCGGAAUUACUGGGCGUAAAGAGCGUGUAGGCGGGUAAAUAAGUUGGAAGUGAAAUCCUAUGGCUCAACCAUAGAACUGCUUCCAAAACUGUUAACCUAGAAUGUGGGAGAGGUAGAUGGAAUUUCUGGUGUAGGGGUAAAAUCCGUAGAUAUCAGAAGGAAUACCGAUUGCGAAGGCGAUCUACUGGAACACUAUUGACGCUGAGACGCGAAAGCGUGGGGAGCAAACAGGAUUAGAUACCCUGGUAGUCACGCCCUAAACGAUGUACACUAGUUGUUGUGAGGCUAGACCUUGCAGUAAUGCAGUUAACACAUUAAGUGUACCGCCUGGGGAGUACGGUCGCAAGAUUAAAACUCAAAGGAAUAGACGGGGACCCGCACAAGCGGUGGAGCAUGUGGUUUAAUUCGACAUACGCGAAGAACCUUACCUGGUCUUGACAUAGAAAGAACUUUCCAGAGAUGGAUUGGUGCCUGCUUGCAGGAGCUUUCAUACAGGUGCUGCACGGCUGUCGUCAGCUCGUGUCGUGAGAUGUUGGGUUAAGUCCCGCAACGAGCGCAACCCUCGUCGUUAGUUGCUAACAGUUCGGCUGGGAACUCUAACGAGACUGCCUACGCAAGUAGGAGGAAGGUGAGGACGACGUCAAGUCAUCAUGGCCCUUACGACCAGGGCUACACACGUGCUACAAUGGGGUAUACAAAGAGCAGCGAUACGGUGACGUGGAGCGAAUCUCAAAAAUGCCUCCCAGUUCGGAUAGUAGUCUGCAACUCGACUACUUGAAGUUGGAAUCGCUAGUAAUCGUAGAUCAGCUAUGCUACGGUGAACACGUUCCCGGGUCUUGUACUCACCGCCCGUCACACCAUGGGAGUUGAAUUCAUUCGAAGCGGGGAU